rnacentral:rRNA from 1 species
GACGAACGCUGGCGGCGUGCUUAACACAUGCAAGUCGAACGGAAAGGCCCUGCUUUUGUGGGGUGCUCGAGUGGCGAACGGGUGAGUAACACGUGAGUAACCUGCCCUUGACUUUGGGAUAACUUCAGGAAACUGGGGCUAAUACCGGAUAGGAGCUCCUGCUGCAUGGUGGGGGUUGGAAAGUUUCGGCGGUUGGGGAUGGACUCGCGGCUCUUCAGCUUGUUGGUGGGGUAGUGGCUUACCAAGGCUUUGACGGGUAGCCGGCCUGAGAGGGUGACCGGCCACAUUGGGACUGAGAUACGGCCCAGACUCCUACGGGAGGCAGCAGUGGGGAAUAUUGCACAAUGGGCGGAAGCCUGAUGCAGCAACGCCGCGUGCGGGAUGACGGCCUUCGGGUUGUAAACCGCUUUCGCCUGUGACGAAGCGUGAGUGACGGUAAUGGGUAAAGAAGCACCGGCUAACUACGUG